UUCUAUUUUUUUAACUAUUACAGCGCAUUGUCUAUCUAUAAAUUGUGGCCAAUGGUGAAGUUGUUGUGCUAGGGGAAAAUCAUAAAAUAAAUCACUGAAUCCAGUCAGCAGCAUGGAAUACGGUUUUUGAAGGACUAAGGACAUCAAAAGUACCAUCCCUAUUGACAGAAACAUCAUUCAUAGUCUUAAUAACUAGGGAAAGGUAAUACCGAGAACGGGGCGAGAUCUGUCCAACCUUCGAAAACUCUUGUGGAAAUCAAAGUCCGAUUCUGCCAGGAUGAUUUUCGGAGUUGCAGUCAGGCAAUUUCAAUAGGAGCUUGACGAAAUUACAUCACCAAUAGCCCUAUUCGUUUUCGACACUGGAAAGACCGCCAAACGCCCGAAAAUAACCAUUUACGAUGAAUGACAAUGCUUUCUUCACCAAGAAAAACCGUAAAUAUUUUUAUCACUUUCAGUCCGUAUUAAUUACGUUACUGGAAAGUGUGGCAUGACGUGCGACACGAGGUGGAGGGCCAAUGGAAUCCAUUUGUCUUGUGUAGCCGGCACUUUGAUUCUGUAGAAAACAUUUCUAUUUUUAAAAUGGAAUCCUAGUAGUGACUUUUCUCUUACUGUUAUAUCGAUCAGAUUACUAGACUUCAUGCACCUUGGACGUCAGAGUCUAACCAAGAGGUUUUGCUUCCGGAGCAGAAGAGAAAGUCAUUCGAGUUUUCGAAGCACAUCACAAUUUUCUACAGAAAUUUGCCCGGAUCUGUCGUAUUCAUCAGCCAAUCCCAGAAAGUAAUAUUUUCUAUCGACUUUCCCACAUACCUAUUCUAAUUUUUAUUGAAGCAUGCUGGGUGUUCCUCAGGGUGAUCCUGUUCAAGUCUUGUGUCUUUCCAAUAAACCCGUUUACCAUA
rnacentral:lncRNA from 1 species